ACUUUUUUUUUUUUUUUUUUUUUUUUUUUUUUUUUUUUUUUUUUUUUUUUUUUUUUUUUUUUUUUUUUCAAAAGCGCCGAGGCAAGAGAGAGA
rnacentral:ribozyme from 13 species